AGCUAAUAGAUACCCGGGUAGUCCACGCCCUAAACGAUGUCUACUAGUUGUUGGUGGAGUAAAAUCCAUGAGUAAACGCAGCUAAACGCGUGAAGUAGACCGCCUGGGGGAGUACGGUCGCAAGAUUAAAACUCAAAGGAAUUGACGGGGGCCCGCACAAGCGGUGGAUUAUGUGGAUUAAAUUCGAUGCAACGCGAAAAACCUUACCUGGCCUUGACAUGCCACUAACGAAGCAGAGAUGCAUUAGGUGCCCGUAAGGGAAAGUGGACACAGGUGCUGCAUGGCUGUCGUCAGCUCGUAUCGUGAGAUGUUGGGUUAAGUCCCGCAACGAGCGCAACCCUUGCCAUUAAUUGCCAUCAUUUAGUUGGGCACUUUAAUGGGACUGCCGGUGACAAACCGGAGGAAGGUGGGGAUGACGUCAAGUCCUCAUGGCCCUUAUGGCCAGGGCUUCACACGUAAUACAAUGGUCGGUACAGAGAGUUGCCAACCCGCGAGGGGGUAGCUAAUCUCAGAAAGCCGAUCGUAGUCCGGAUUGUUCUCUGC
rnacentral:rRNA from 1 species